rnacentral:rRNA from 1 species
AUACGGAGGGUGCGAGCGUUAAUCGGAAUUACUGGGCGUAAAGCGUGCGUAGGCGGUUUGUUAAGUCAGAAGUGAAAGCCCUGGGCUCAACCUGGGAACGGCUUUUGAGACUGGCAGACUCGAGUUGAGUAGAGGGGAGUGGUAUUUCCGGUGUAGCGGUGAAAUGCGUAGAGAUCGGAAGGAACACCAGUGGCGAAGGCGACUCCCUGGACUCAAACUGACGCUGAGGUACGAAAGCGUGGGUAGCAAACAGGAUUAGAAACCCUAGUAGUCC